UUAACCGGAUUAGAUACCCUGGUAGUCCACGCCGUAAACGUUGGGCGCUAGAUGUGGGGACCACUCCACGGUUUCCGUGUCGCAGCUAACGCAUUAAGCGCCCCGCCUGGGGAGUACGGCCGCAAGGCUAAAACUCAAAGGAAUUGACGGGGGCCCGUACAAGCGGCGGAGCAUGCGGAUUAAUUCGAUGCAACGCGAAGAACCUUACCAAGGCUUGACAUAUACGAGAACGGGCUAGAAAUAGUCAACUCUUUGGACACUCGUAAACAGGUGGUGCAUGGUUGUCGUCAGCUCGUGUCGUGAGAUGUUGGGUUAAGUCCCGCAACGAGCGCAACCCUCGUUCUAUGUUGCCAGCACGUAAUGGUGGGAACUCAUAGGAGACUGCCGGGGUCAACUCGGAGGAAGGUGGGGAUGACG
rnacentral:rRNA from 1 species